GACGAACGCUGGCGGCGUGCUUAACACAUGCAAGUCGAGCGGAAAGGCCCUUUCGGGGGUACUCGAGCGGCGAACGGGUGAGUAACACGUGAGUAAUCUGCCCUUGGCUUUGGGAUAACCACCGGAAACGGUGGCUAAUACCGGAAAUGACGCGCUCCGGCAUCGGGGUGUGUGGAAAGUUUUUUCGGCCAGGGAUGUGCUCGCGGCCUAUCAGCUUGUUGGUGGGGUAAUGGCCUACCAAGGCUUCGGCGGGUAGCCGGCCUGGGAGGGUGACCGGCCACACUGGGACUGAGACACGGCCCAGACUCCUACGGGAGGCAGCAGUGGGGAAUAUUGGACAAUGGGCGGAAGCCUGAUCCAGCAACGCCGCGUGAGGGAUGACGGCCUUCGGGUUGUAAACCUCUUUCAGUAACGACGAAGCGCCGAUGAUGGUGGUGACGGUAGGUACAGAAGAAGCACCGGCCAACUACGUGCCAGCCGCCGCCGUAA
rnacentral:rRNA from 1 species